rnacentral:lncRNA from 1 species
UUAGGAAAGGCUGUGACUGAGAUCUGGGCUUAGGAAAGGCUGUGACUGAGAGCCGGGUUUAGGAAAGGCUGUCCCUGAGAGCCGGGCUUAGGAAAGGCUUUCCCUGAGACAUGAGAGCAGAGCCGGGUUUAGGAAAGGCUGUGACCGAGACAUGAGCUGGGUUUAGGAAAGGCUGUGGCUGAGAGGGCGCUCAGGCCUCGGCAGGCGCUGCCCAGGGAGGGCUGGAUCCCAUCCCUGGAGGUGUCACCUGGAGGUGGCACUCCGGGCUCUGGGCUGGGGACGAGGUGUGGAUGGGACACGGGCAGGACUCGGUGAUCCUGGAGGGCUUUUCCAGCCCCAGGGGCUCUGGGAUUCUGUGAUAAACCUGUCCCAGAGCAGCGCUACCCCCCGAGCCCCGCUCCCUCCCUCCCCUCACCCCGGCUCCGGCGCUCGCUGGAGGCAGAAAGGACUCAGAAGCACGUUUGUGUUUUUGGCUGCUUUUGGUCAGUUUGGUUUUUCCCUGAUCACGAUUAACCCUUCGGGGAGCGAGCCGAAACAAAGCGGGAGGCACAGCCCCGCUGUGGCGCUCCCGUCCCUUCAGGCAAAGCCGCGGGGGGAGCGCCCGGGGCACCGGGACCACCGCUUCUUCUUCCUCCUCCNNNNNNNNNNGCCCGGGGCACCGGGACCACCGCUUCUUCUUCCUCCUCCUCCUCCUCAUGCUCAGCCUCCCGUGCCCUGCGCGUCCCGCCGUACCGUACCAUACUGUACCGUACCGUACCAUACUGUACCGUACCGGGCCGUGCCGGACCGCGCUGUACCGUGCCAUACCGUGCCGUUAACUACCGUGCCGUGCCUGUACCGUACCGGUACCGUGCCUGUACCGUAUCGUGCCGUUCCGUACCGUACCAUGCCAUGCCAUGCCGUUCCGUGCCGGUACCACCGUGCCGUUCCGUGCCGUUCCGGUACCGUGCCGUGCCGUUCCGUUCCGUGCCGGUACCGUGCCGUGCCGUGCCAUGCCGUUCCGCUCCGCGCCGCCCCGCUCGCUGCCGGCCCGCCCUCCCCGAGGGGAGCCGGCGGUGACGUCACGGCCGGGCCGCCCGGCAAUGGGCGCCAU